rnacentral:rRNA from 1 species
GCAAUGCCGCGUGAGUGAAGAAGGCCUUCGGGUUGUAAAGCUCUUUUGUCAGGGAAGAAAAGGUUCGGGCUAAUAUCCUGGGCUCAUGACGGUACCUGAAGAAUAAGCACCGGCUAACUACGUGCCAGCAGCCGCGGUAAUACGUAGGGUGCAAGCGUUAAUCGGAAUUACUGGGCGUAAAGCGUGCGCAGGCGGUUUUGUAAGACUGUCGUGAAAUCCCCGGGCUUAACCUGGGAAUGGCGAUGGUGACUGCAAGGCUAGAGUUUGGCAGAGGGGGGUAGAAUUCCACGUGUAGCAGUGAAAUGCGUAGAUAUGUGGAGGAACACCGAUGGCGAAGGCAGCCCCCUGGGUCAAAACUGACGCUCAUGCACGAAAGCGUGGGGAGCAAACAGGAUUAGAUACCCUGGUAGUCCACGCCCUAAACGAUGUCUACUAGUUGUCGGGUCUUAAUUGACUUGGUAACGCAGCUAACGCGUGAAGUAGACCGCCUGGGGAGUACGGUCGCAAGAUUAAAACUCAAAGGAAUUGACGGGGACCCGCACAAGCGGUGGAUGAUGUGGAUUAAUUCGAUGCAACGCGAAAAACCUUACCUACCCUUGACAUGGAUGGAAUCCUUGAGAGAUUG